ACAAAGGUUUGGUCCUUUUAACCUUACACAUGCAAGUCUCCGCACACCCGUGAGAACGCCCUUACUCCUCCCUCAGGAUAAGGAGCCGGUAUUAGGCACAGAUACCUUGCCCAUCAUACCUAGCUUUGCCACUCCCCCAAGGGUCCUCAGCAGUGAUUAACAUUACCUAUAAGCGCCAGCUUGAACCAGUUAAAGUACACAGAGUCGGCCAACCUGGUGCCAGCCGCCGCGGCUAUACCAUGAGACUCCAGUUGAUAUACUUCGGCGUUAAGCGUGAUUAAAGUGACUCAUAGAUUAGGGCUAAACCCCAACAAAGCCGUUACACGCUUGUUACUGAGAAACACAAAACGAAAGUUACCCUAACUAAACUACUUGACCCCACGACAGCUAAGAACCAAACUGGGAUUAGAUACCCCACUAUGCUUAGCCGUAAAAUAUUAACUUACACCAAAACCGCCAGGGAAUUACGAGCCCAAGCUUAAAACCCAAAGGACUUGACGGUGCCCCAUCCUACUAGAGGAGCCUGUUCUAUAAUCGAUUCUCCCCGAUCUACCUCACCGCCCCUUGUAUACUCAGCCUGUAUACCUCCGUCGCAAGCUUACCAUGUAAACGCAUAUAGUGAGCUUAAAGAUUAUACAUCCACACGUCAGGUCAAGGUGCAGCCAACGAGGCGGAAAGAAAUGGGCUACAAUCUCUACCCUAGAACAAACGAAAACCCCUGUGCAACACAGGCAUUGAAGGCGGAUUUAGCAGUAAGAAGAAAACAGAGCGUUCUUCUUAACUAGGCGCUGGGACGCGUACACACUGCCCGUCACCCUCUUCAAACUUCUACAAACCUGUUACUAACACUAAACAGUCACACAGAAGAGGCAAGUCGUAACAUGGUAAGCGUACUGGAAAGUGCGCUUGGAAUA
rnacentral:ncRNA from 1 species